UACGAAGGGGGCUAGCGUUGUUCGGAUUUACUGGGCGUAAAGGGCGCGUAGGCGGCGUGUUAAGUCACUUGUGAAAUCUCUGAGCUUAACUCAGAACGGUCAAGUGAUACUGAUGUGCUAGAGUGCAGAAGGGGCAACCGGAAUUCUUGGUGUAGCGGUGAAAUGCGUAGAUAUCAAGAGGAACACCUGAGGUGAAGACGGGUUGCUGGGCUGACACUGACGCUGAGGCGCGAAAGCUAGGGUAGCAAACGGG
rnacentral:rRNA from 1 species